UACGUAGGGGGCUAGCGUUGUCCGGAAUCAUUGGGCGUAAAGCGCGUGUAGGCGGUCCGGUAAGUCCGCUGUGAAAGUCGGGGGCUCAACCCUCGGAUGCCGGUGGAUACUGUCGGGCUUGAGUACGGAAGAGGCGAGUGGAAUUCCUGGUGUAGCGGUGAAAUGCGCAGAUAUCGGGAGGAACACCAGUGGCGAAGGCGGCGCUCUGGGCCGGAACUGACGCUGAGGAGCGAAAGCGUGGGGAGCGAACAGG
rnacentral:rRNA from 1 species